rnacentral:rRNA from 1 species
GUACCAGACUCCUACGGGAGGCAGCAGUGGGGGAUAUUGCACAAUGGGGGGAACCCUGAUGCAGCGACGCCGCGUGGGUGAGGGAGUGCUUCGGCCUGUAAAGCCCUAUCGGCAAGGAAGAAGCAAGACGGUACCUGACUAAGAAGCCCCAGCUAACUACGUGCCAGCAGCCGCGGUAAUACGUAGGGGGCGAGCGUUAUCCGGAUUCACUGGGUGUAAAGGGAGCGUAGACGGCCAUGCAAGCCAGGGGUGAAAGCCCGGGGCCCAACCCCGGGACUGCCCUUGGAACUGCAUGGCUGGAGUGCGGGAGGGGCAGGCGGAAUUCCUGGUGUAGCGGUGAAAUGCGUAGAUAUUAGGAGGAACACCAGUGGCGAAGGCGGCCUGCUGGGCUUUUACUGACGCUGAGGCUCGAAAGUGUGGGGAGCAAACAGGAUUAGAUACCCGGGUAACA